rnacentral:rRNA from 1 species
UACGGGGGGGCAAGCGUUGUUCGGAAUUACUGGGCGUAAAGGGCUCGUAGGUGGCCAACUAAGUCAGACGUGAAAUCCCCAGGCUCAACUUGGGAACUGCGUCUGAUACUGGAUGGCUUGAAUUCGGGAGAGGGAUGCAGAAUUCCAGGUGUAGCGGUGGAAUGCGUAGAUAUCGGGAGGAACACCAGUGGCGAAGGCGACUACCUGGCCUGUUCUUGACGCUGAGGCGCGAAAGCUAGGGGAGCAAACGGG